AACUUUCAACAACGGAUCUCUUGGCUCUCGCAUCGAUGAAGAACGCAGCGAAAKGCGAUAAGUAAUGUGAAUUGCAGAAUUCAGUGAAUCAUCGAAUCUUUGAACGCACCUUGCGCUCCUUGGUAUUCCGAGGAGCAUGCCUGUUUGAGUGUC
rnacentral:rRNA from 1 species